ensembl:piRNA 21ur-6571 ncRNA
UUCUUCGGUUUUGAAAUUUUC